rnacentral:tRNA from 1 species
GCUGGGGAUAGAACUCAGUGGUAGAGCACUUGCCUAGCAUGCAACAUGCUCUGGGUUCAAUUCCUAGCAGCA